UGGGGAAUAUUGCACAAUGGGCGCAAGCCUGAUGCAGCCAUGCCGCGUGUAUGAAGAAGGCCUUCGGGUUGUAAAGUACUUUCAGCGGGGAGGAAGGGAGUAAAGUUAAUACCUUUGCUCAUUGACGUUACCCGCAGAAGAAGCACCGGCUAACUCCGUGCCAGCAGCCGCGGUAAUACGGAGGGUGCAAGCGUUAAUCGGAAUUACUGGGCGUAAAGCGCACGCAGGCGGUUUGUUAAGUCAGAUGUGAAAUCCCCGGGCUCAACCUGGGAACUGCAGCUGAUAAUGGCAAGAUUGAGUCUCGUAGAGGGGGGUAGAAUUCCAGGUGUAGCGAUGAAAUGCGUAGGGAUCUGGAGGAAUACCGGUGGCGAAGGCGGCCCCCUGGACGAAGACUGACGCUCAGGUGCGAAAGCGUGGGGAGCAAACAGG
rnacentral:rRNA from 1 species